AUGGAUGAGGUCACAAGGGGUAUACAAGGAGAUAUCCCAUGGUGUAUGCUCUUUGCGGAUGAUGUGGUGCUAGUUGACGAUAGUCAGACGGGGGUAAAUAGGAAGUUAGAGUUAUGGAGACAAACCUUGGAAUCGAAAGGGUUUAGGCUUAGUAGAACUAAAACCGAGUACAUGAUGUGCGGUUUCAGUACUACUAGCUGUGAGGAGGAGGAGGUUAGCCUUGAUGGCCAGGUGGUACCUCGGAAGGACACCUUUCGGUAUUUGGGGUCAAUGUUGCAGGAGGAUGGGGGUAUUGAUGAAGAUGUGAACCAUCUAAUCAAAGCCGGAUGGAUGAAGUGGCGCCAAGCUUCUGGCAUUCUCUGUGACAAGAGAGUGCCACAAAAGCUAAAAGGCAAGUUCUACAGGACGGCGGUUCGACCCGCAAUGUUGUAUGGCGCGGAGUGUUGGCCGACUAAAAGGCGACAUGUUCAACAGUUAGGUGUGGCGGAGAUGCGUAUGUUGAGAUGGAUGUGUGGCCACACGAGGAAGGAUCGAGUCCGGAAUGAUGAUAUACGAGAUAGAGUUGGGGUAGCACCAAUUGAGGAGAAGCUUGUCCAACAUCGUUUGAUAUGGUUUGGGCAUAUUCAGUGCAGGCCUCCAGAAGCUCCAGUGCAUAGCGGACGGCUAAAGCGUGCGGAGAAUGUCAAGAGAGGGCGGGGUCGACCGAUUUUGACAUGGGAGGAGUCCGUUAAGAGAGACCUGAAGGAUUGGAGUAUCGACAAAGAGCUAGCUAUGGACAGGGGUGCGUGGAAGCUUGCUAUCCAUGUGCCAGAGCCAUGA
rnacentral:rRNA from 1 species